GAUUCCCCUAGUAACGGCGAGCGAACGGGGAAGAGUCCAGCGCCGAAGUUCGUUCCCCUCGGGGUUCGAACAAUGUGGCGUGUAGGAGGGAGCGUUCCCGAGAAGGUCCGAGCAGCAAGUCCCCCUGACCGGGGCUCUUACCCAGAGCGGGUGCGAGGCCCGUAGUUGCUCGGUCCCCUCGGGAUGCGACCUCCCCGGAGUCGAGUUGCUUGGGAGUGCAGCUCCAAGUUGGUGGUAAACUCCACCUAAGGCUAAAUACGGCCGCGAGACCGAUAGCAAACAAGUACCGUGAGGGAAAGUUGCAAAGAACUUUGAAGAGAGAGUUCAAGAGUACGUGAAACUGCUCAGAGGCAAACGGGUGGGCCCUCGAAAUCCUUUUGCGGAGGGAUUCAGUCGGGAGCGGUGGAGGCGGACGCGGGUACCGGACCCUUGAAAAGGACGGUCCCGCGACGCGGUCCCCGCCGCACCCGACGCAUUUCCCCCCGCACCUAGGACGCCGCAACGGAUCGGGUAGCUGCGAGAGUCGGCCUUAGGGCGGUUCCAGGCAGGUGACCGGAGACCGGGCUUCGGCCAGGUCACCGGUUUUUUUAACGGAGCCGUUCGUGGCGCGACACCCGAUCGAGGCCAGAGUUCCCCCGACGGGGAACGCACCGUCCCUCUCCUCUUGGACGCGGUGCCCGGGUCAGUGUGCACCGGCGAGAUCGAACCACUCCCAGUAGUGGCCGUUCCGACGGAGUGCCGUCGUUGGAUCCGGGUCGACCGCAGAGGGAGAUGUCGACAGGUUGGCGGCGAGUAGGUCGGUCACCCACCCGACCCGUCUUGAAACACGGACCAAGGAGUCUAACAUGUGCGCGAGUCGCAGGGUCUUGUACAGGCCCUCGGGCGCAAUGAAAGUGAAGGUUCUCGGACCGAGUUGGGACUCCCGCCUCCAGGGGCGGGAAGCACCAAUGGCCCGUUCCGUCCGAUUCGUCGGUGGGGCGGAGUUCGAGCGUACACGUUGGGACCCGAAAGAUGGUGAACUAUGCCUGGGCAGAACGAAGCCAGAGGAAACUCUGGUGGAGGUUCGUAGCGGUUCUGACGUGCAAAUCGAUCGUCAGACCCGGGUAUAGGGGCGAAAGACUAAUCGAACUAU
rnacentral:rRNA from 1 species